CUGGCCAUUAGUGUUGCAACGUUCAGUGAAGUAUCCAUCAACUAGUUCAAGUCGGUAAAAAGUGAGGUUGAAAUCUUUUCAGCAUGAAAAAUGGCCGAAAACUGCUUCGAAAUCGUAUUAAUUUCACGUAAGUCCCCAAUUCCAAGCAUUGGGUCAACCAUUUUUUUCUGAGUAAUGGCUGCCAUGUCCUUGCUUCUCUAAAUGCUUGUAGAAGUCUAGUCUGAUCGAGUUUCAAAGAUGAUAAUCGACAGCCGAACAGGAAAUUAAUCCAGCAAGUGUAUGACUGUAUUGUGGAAAGUCAGGUGAAGGAUAGACCAUGAAAAGCUAGAACACAAACGAGUUAUCAUCAUAUUGAUCUUGUUCUUUUACAGGAAGAUAUAUAGGGGUGAAUUUUAUUUUAUGUUGUAUAUUUCUGCAUAGACACUAACGGUGGGUGGGAUAGACCUUGAAGACAGGCGGUACACCAAGUUGAUAGAGAGAUUGUAAAGGCAGUUCUUCGAACGAUACGGUCUGCCUCUAGCUACAGUGACGAGUUCAACGACAUCGUUCGUAAAGGGGUAUGGUGGUUGUGCAGUAUUUUAUAUUUCAUUUAUGUAUAUUUCAAGGAUAUCGUUUAGUUUAGUUCUAUUACAUUCAAAAUCACAAAAAUUGCAUAUUAUUAAUAACGCACUUAAAUUUAAAUGAAAUAAUAUCAGAUCCGAAGAAAGUACUGCUCUAGGUAACCUGUAAAAUAAUAAGCAUGUUGUUAGGUCGGUUUAUUUUAACAAAAGUGCUCAAGGCAAACAAAACACGGCUAUUUUACGCUCACCUUUUUCACUUCGCCGAUUUUCCGUCCAAAGUUUUUUUCAAAAUGAUCCACUUCUUCCUCGAUAACUAUUCUUUGCAUCCGUAUCAAACACCGUCUGCGACGUUCUGGUGACCAAUUCCGGAUCACGUGGCCCAUCCCCGAUAGCUCAGCAUCGACUGGGUCAGUUGGUCGUUUCAAUCGGUUAAGCAUCUCUGUUGUGGCACUUUGAAACGCCCGCAACGAUUCCAUCAGUUCCUCGUGGAGAGCACGACUGACUAUUAGCCUACGCCGCUUGGUUGCCCUUGCCGUUACAUUGGGUGCAAUGUUUGGACGAGGAGAUGCGGGAUACCCUGACCGUCCAGGUUGCGGUGAUGGUACACGCUGUGGUGACGGCACGCUGGACGGUCCAGUAGAAGGUGUGAGUCCCUCGUCUAACACCUUUACUUCCAAUUGUUCCUGUUGGUCAAAGAGGUUUUGAUGUUAAAUAUAGAAUUUGCAUGUCCUGAUCUGGAAUUCAUUUUCUA